rnacentral:rRNA from 1 species
GACGAACGCUGGCGACGUGCCUAAUACAUGCAAGUAGAACGCUGAAGGAGGAGCUUGCUUCUCUGGAUGAGUUGCGAACGGGUGAGUAACGCGUAGGUAACCUGCCUGGUAGCGGGGGAUAACUAUUGGAAACGAUAGCUAAUACCGCAUAAUAGUAGAUGUUGCAUGACAUUUGCUUAAAAGGUGCAAUUGCAUCACUACCAGAUGGACCUGCGUUGUAUUAGCUAGUUGGUGGGGUAACGGCUCACCAAGGCGACGAUACAUAGCCGACCUGAGAGGGUGAUCGGCCACACUGGGACUGAGACACGGCCCAGACUCCUACGGGAGGCAGCAGUAGGGAAUCUUCGGCAAUGGACGGAAGUCUGACCGAGCAACGCCGCGUGAGUGAAGAAGGGUUUCGGAUCGUAAAGCUCGGUUGUAAGAGAAGAACGAGUGUGAGAGUGGAAAGUUCACACUGUGACGGUAUCUUACCAGAAAGGGACGGCUAACUACGUG